AACGAACGCUGGCGGCAGGCCCAACACAUGCAAGUCGAACGCCGUAGCAAUACGGAGUGGCAGACGGGUGAGUAACGCGUGGGAACAUACCCUUCGGUUCGGAAUAACUCAGGGAAACUUGUGCUAAUACCGGAUACGUCCGAGGUAAAACUUAGGAGAAAGAUUUAUCGCCGGAGGAUUGGCCCGCGUCUGAUUAGCUUGUUGGUGAGGUAAUGGCUCACCAAGGCGACGAUCAGAGCUGGUCUGAGAGGAUGAUCAGCCACAUUGGGGACUGAGACACGGCCCAAACUCCUACGGGAGGCAGCAGUGGGGAAGUAUUGGACAAUGGGCGAAAGCCUGAUCCAGCCAUGCCGCGUGAGUGAUGAAGGCCUUAGGGUUGUAAAGCUCUUUACUGGGAAGAUAAUGACGGUACCGGGAGAAUAAGCCCCGGCUAACUUCGUGCCAGCAGCCGCCGCGGUAAC
rnacentral:rRNA from 1 species